rnacentral:rRNA from 1 species
AUGACGAUCUUGAGCUGGAACUGUCGAGGCCUCGGGCAACCUCGAACAGUUCAAGAACUCGUGUGCCUUGUGCACACGUACAAGCCCAAGCUCGUCUUCCUGGCUGAAACUCGCCAGAAUAAUAAGUACGUCUCAAAUCUAAAGUGGAGGCUAGGCCUCCGUCAUUGUAUCAUGCAACCCGGUACCGGAAAAGGUGUCGGCAUUUCCCUCUUUUACGAUGAGAGUGUGGAAAUAAAAAAUAUUGGCAUGGGGACGAGGUAUAUUGAUGUGUUGGUUCGCUUGAACCCUAAUGGCUUACAAUGGAGAGGUACUUUUGUGUAUGGUGAACCUAAAGCCCAUGAGCGUCAUCUUAUGUGGGCACUCCUGAGACGUAUAAGAGACACAUGCACGCUCCCUUGGAUCAUGAUGGGCGACUUCAACGAGAUUUUGUGGUAG